rnacentral:lncRNA from 1 species
AUGAAAGACUGGGAAUGUAUAAAAUACUCAUUAAAUACAAUAAGACACAACAGCAGGUGGCAUAUCUAGGAGUCACUACUAGGACAUUAACACAGAGAUUGGAAGAACAUAGAAAAGACUUUGCUAUGGGAAAACUAACCAUGGCUCUAGCAGUCAAAGCAUAUUACAAUAACAUAAAAAUAGAAUGGGAGCAAGCUAAGAUAAUUAAGCCAGUCACUAUAAAAUCUUAGGCAAUAAUGGAGAGAUCAUUGAAAUAAUAAAGCGGCAAGAGAAAGACAAGCUCAUUAAUGAUAGACCAACAGAGUUAUCAAUGCCAUGGGGAUAUCUAAUUAAAGAGAUAGAAAGGGCUCAACAUAGAGCAGAU